AUCAACACUCCACUGAGACAAUGGCCAGACCUCCAGAAGUCAUGUCUAGCUCGGACUGCCCACAAGUGCAGUUUUCAAAAAUGCUUGGGGCCUCUUUUCCCCAUAUUCUCACACUGGGGUUCAGACAUCUGGCUCUUUUCCUCAAAACUGGCCUAUCCAGCCAGUCGUCCUUUGAGACUUCCGGCCGCAGAGGCCAUCAACUCCUACUGGAAGUUUUCCUGUGGUCCUUCCGAUCAGACUUUCUUAUAUUUCUUUGAAGUCAACAAAUAUUGGUUGAGCAUCUGUUAUGGGUUAGGGAUGGAGCUACAGGUAAGGGCUGGUUCAAAAACGAGACACACUGCUUGUCUUUUAGGAGCUCACAGUCCAGGGAAAGGGACAGUCAGGAAACCAGGAAACCAGGCAACCACCAUAUAUAUACAAAGGGAUGGCUCUAAGGUGCUCUCUUCUGUGUGUCAGAUGAGGACUCCCUUCACAUUUGGCUGUCAUCUAUCAGCCACAACCGUCCUGUCCCAAAGAGCUGGCUUUGGCUUUAAAGCCUGCUUCCUGGCUGGGCUUCUCCACCACUCCAUUAAGGAUACCAUUUGAUAUCACAUGUGCUACAGGUGCUGUUGAUGAAAGUGCUAAAGGAGCUGGAUGGGACUGACGUCUUUGGGAAGGGUAAGACUCAGCGUGCGCAUGCAGCUGUCCUGUCCAAGUGCUGUUCUUACCUCCCAAUGGAAAGCUGAACAAGGGCCAUGCUUGGGACAACACCAGCAGAGCCUUCCAGCAGACAGGCCAGGGAAGAAGCCAGGGUCAGCGAGUGAAGAGGAGAGCAGCGCCAUUUAAAGCAACACGGUUUAUUAAUAACGGAAACUACAUGAUAUUUGGCAGCCCCAAAGGAAUCACAUGUCUGAUGCAGUGGAAGGACAGUGCCCUAAAAGAAAGGGUGGCAUGCUGGACAGCCAAAAGAACAAACGUCCACUACACGUAAUGUGAGCACCAGAUUUGGAUGCGAUCCAUCUCUGUACAAGACUGGCGGCAAUUCACACCGAUCAUCUCUACAGCCAAGGUGAGGCUUGAAUUCACAGCCCUGAGAUGAAGAGUAGCUUGCUUCACGGUCAGGUACCCUUUCUGCAGGCAUUUCUUCUGAUGCAUACAAGGAAUUCCAAGAUAAGGAGAAGGGUGUGUAAAGGAAAGACCAUCAAAGACCUGGUUAAAAAGGCAUCAAGAGAUGAGGCUCCAGUCUUUUCUCGCUCACUGACCCUGUGACUUCUGUGAAAAUGAGAAUUAAAAAACCUACAUACUGGAGUAGCGGCAAAUACUCAAAUAGGAACCCAGCAGAAGAGUGGCAUCAUUUGGGAACUUGCUUGAAAUGGAAAUUCUCCAUCCCACCCCAGACUCACUUAAUCAGAAGCGGGGCUGGCGGGAACAGCAAUAAAUACUUUAAUAAGCACUCCAACUAUUUCUGAUGCUUGCUAAAAUCUGAGAACCACUGGGCUCGAACAUCCCCUGGUGCACAAACUUUUAUUUGUUCUUAAGUCUUGAAGAUAAUGAGCAUGUUGUCUUGUAUCUCCAAGAGCUCACAAAGCAGGGAAACAAAAAGUCCCACAUUAAAUUCUUUAAUACAGGACCAUACUGAGUGAUAAGUGAUCGAAUACAAGCUGAAUGUGCUUUGAAAGCUUAUAAGGGGUUGAAUUUAUUUCUAACAAGGUGAAUAUCAGAAGGCUUUAUAGAUAAAAAAUGUUAAAAGGGUAAAAUAGGUAUAAACUGUAAAGUAACGCAGGUAAUUAAACUUCUAGGGAUUACUGCAAAGCUGUAUCUACAAAGUUAACUUAAAAUAUACUCCUGGGUGGCUCAGUUGAUUAAGCAUCUGACUCUUAAUCUCAGCUCAGGCCUUGCUCUCAGGAUCAUGAGUUCAAGCCUUGAGUUAAAAAAUAAUAGUUAGGGGCACCUGGGUGGCUCAGUGGGUUAAAGCCUCUGCCUUCUGCUCAGGUCAUGAUCUCAGGGUCCUGGGAUCAAGCCCCGUAUUGGGCUCUCUCUCUGCCUGUUCCUCUGCCUACUUGUAAUCUCUGUCAAAUAAAUAAAAUCUUUAAAAAAUAAUAAUUAUAUAUAUAUAUAUAUAUGUAUUAAACUGAUUAGAUACCUCAUAUUGCAUAUAAAUAAAAACCCAUCAGAAGUCAGAAGAGGAGGAUUUUAGUCCUUAUGUUACAUUUACCAGCUGUCGCUCAAUGUUCUCGUUCAUUAAAAAAAAGAUUGGUCUGGAACCCUGGUUCUUAAUCAAGGGAAAAGAAGGUGGGCCCAAGGCAUAUGUAGACUCAAAGCUUCCACAGGGGAGUGUGGGCACAGCCUGGUUAAAAAGCACUAAUUAUCUCUAAUCUCUGACUGUAGAUUAUCAAAUGUAAAGUUAAAGCAUUAAGGAAGCAUGUAAACAUUAUUUUAAAUCCGUAAACCAAUCUCUGCUUUUGUUUUCUCUUUCUCUUUUUUCUUUUUCUUUGCUUAACCUCUCUGAAAGUGCUCCAGUACCAGAACACCCAAUUAAUCAAAGGGAAACAUCUGUAAUAUGUAGCAACUAAAAUAUCACCUUCCUUGUGUGGAUCACAAAGUCCUUGGCAAUCACCUCCAUACUAGACUAGUGAGUAUUGUUGUUCUCAUUUUCCAGAUGGAUAAACAGAGGAUAAAGGCCUUGUUCAGUGUCACACACUUCUGUCACCAACUGAGACACAAUGGAUGUCAGUCUUCUCAUUCCUUCAACAAUAAAGAGCUUUCAAGCGCUUACAGUCAACAAGAACUUGGAAAGAUUACACUGGCUGAAAGGCAUAUACAUGGAGGACAUCCACAAAUAGGAGGAAAUUAACUUGAAGCUGAGUGUCUAACUUCACUGACUCUCAGUGGCAGAGAUAGAAGAAAAGCAAAGUUUUAGCAAGGAAGGGUCUGAAAGAAAAUAAAUUAAAUAUAGCUAAUUAUCAAGUACUGUUUAAUUAUCAAGUACUGUUUUUAGUAAGACAAGUGAAAAAUACUCUUUUUUAGGUGGUAAUUCCUAUCUCUUAAUGGAAUCAUCCAUUCAUUCAAUAAAUACUUAUUGAUUGCCUUUUA